GACGAACGCUGGCGGCGUGCUUAACACAUGCAAGUCGAGCGGAAAGGCCCUGCUUUUGUGGGGUGCUCGAGUGGCGAACGGGUGAGUAACACGUGAGUAACCUGCCCCUGACUUUGGGAUAACUCCAGGAAACUGGGGCUAAUACCGGAGAGGAGCUCCUGCUGCAUGGUGGUGGUUGGAAAGUUUCGGCGGUUGGGGAUGGACUCGCGGCUUAUCAGCUUGCUUGGGGGGUAGUGGUGUACCAAGGCUUCGACGGGUAGCCCGCCUGAGCGGGUGGCCGGCCACCAUGCGCCUGCGGUACGGCCCAGACUCGUACCGGACGCAGCAGUGGGAAAUAUUGCAGAAUGGGCGGACGCCUGAUGCGGCAGCCCCGGGUGCGUGAUGACGUCCUUCGGGUUGUGAACCGCUUUGGCCUGUGCCGAAGCGUGAUUGACGGUACUGGGUAAAGAAGCCCCGGCUAACUACGUG
rnacentral:rRNA from 1 species